rnacentral:lncRNA from 1 species
AGAUCCGUCCUGGGGUGGAUCCAAUUUGGGAACUUGAUUUUGGUGCAAUAUCUUUGGACAAACUUUAUACUUUUGUGAUGUUAUUAAUUUGUUAUCGCUAGGAUGCCUACGUACUUUGAAUGGAGACCUGCACAAAAGUAGUUGUCAUAAUUUGAUACCACCCACGUCUAUCCGGAGUUCUAUUAUGAAAGAGCUUCACAUUAUAUAUAUAUUGGUGGAGAUCGUGUGUUGCUGCUCAGGAAGCUGAAGGCAGUCUUUCAACUUUCAAGGCAAUUAAUUAAGUAUGUAUAUAUUUUUAUUUUUCAUCAUAUAUAGUCAAAAAUAUAUAUGAUUAUUAUUGUGAAAUCUAGUACUAAAGAUGAUUGAGAUUGAUGAAUUUGGAGCUUUGAAGGAUGAGGGAUGUAUGGAAAUAUUAAUAAGGCUGGCUUUGAUUUUGAAUACUCCAAUAUAUAAUUGUGGUUUUAGUGUUGUUGAUAAUAUAUAUAUAUAUAUAUAUAUAUAUAUAUAUAUAUAUAUAUAUAUGGGGUCCGGUCCUGUUGUCUGUUGAUGUGAUUUUAAUGGGGGUCCUGUCCUAUUGAGUUGUUUACUUUUGCAUGGUACGUAGAAGGGCAUACUUGUAGGUCCUAAUUAAGCAUGGGUGGGCUGCUGCUACUGAUCAGUGAUCACCUGAUGAACAAGACAAGAGGAUGUGGCUAUGCUUUGCUCGGCAUACUGCAUGGCUCCCCAGGAUAUGGGAGGAGCUACAGACUACAGUUGUCAAAAUUAUUCAUCAGAAUCCAACAAUUAAUUAAGCAGUGAAGUUGUCUUGAGCUGUUGAAAUGUUUUUUCAGUUAAUAAUUUUCUCUCAUUAUAAACAUCUGCAUGUUUUCUGUAAUCAAGGAGGAAAAGAAAGAAAAGGUUAUCUUCUAACAAUGAGCUGGCUAGCUAGCUAGGGAUGACAAUCAAUUAAGAAAUAGGCAAUCAAGACUUGUAAGAGUUGUAACAGUCCGUCUGUUCGCCAAGCACUGUUAAAUAUAUGAAUGUUUUUUUUUUAAAUGAAGUGAUACAUCC